GCCAGGCACGGUGGCGCAUGCCUGUAAUCCCAGCAGCUCAGGAGGCUGAGACAGGAGGAUUGUGAGUUCAAAGCCAACCUCAGCAACUUAAUGAGGCCCUAAGCAACUCAGUGAGACCCUGUCUCUA
rnacentral:sRNA from 1 species